CAAGCCUUGAGUUAAGAUGGCGGCGGCCACGAGGGAAGAAGAUGCGUUCCGUCGCCUCUUUCGUUUCUAUCGGCGAUGGGAGGGGUCGGAUCCUACCGGGGUGAUUGACUUCUCAAAGCCAGCCGGGCGGCAGGUAGUCAGCUGUCCUCUGAAGUUAAUCUCAGUAAGUGAUCAAGAUGCCUACAGAGCAGGAUUACAUCCAGUUACCCAGUGGAAAGCUUAUGGUUUAGAUAAUUAUCCGGGAUUCAUAUAUAUUAAUAAUCCCUUUCUUCCGGGCUCUCAGUGCCAUUGGGUGAAACAAUGUCUAAAGAAAUAUACCCAGAAACCUAAUGUGUGCAAUUUGGAUAUGCAUAUGUCUUCUGAGGAAAUUACUGAUAUCUGGGGGAAGAGUAAAUUUCAGCUUCGAAACCAAAGUGCCACUAAAUCACAGCCAAAAAGCUUAUUGGAAAAGUUACGCUGGGUAACUCUAGGUUACCACUAUAACUGGAAUACAAAGAAAUAUUCAGCAGAUAACUAUACCCCCUUCCCAUCUGAUCUGGCUUUCCUGUCAAAGCAAGUGUCUAAAGCUUGUGGAUUUCCCAACUUCCAAGCAGAAGCAGGGAUCCUGAACUAUUAUCACUUUGAUUCAUCUUUAGGAAUUCAUGUGGAUGAAUCUGAACUGGACUUUUCUCCACCUCUUUUAUCAUUCAGCUUUGGACAGUCAUCCAUAUUUCUGCUGGGAGGAUUGAAACGAGAUGAAACCCCUGUGGCCCUGUUCACACAUAGUGGAGACAUUAUGAUAAUGUCUGGUUUCAGCCGCCUACUGUAUCACGCAGUUCCCAAGAUCUUCCCCAAUCUAGAAGGAAAGUCUUUGCCAUCUUCCUUAGAGCUACCUCUCUCUGCUGACCUGCCCGCAGACUCUGUGAUUGAGCGCUGCUCCGAUGACGAUUGGCAAACCUGUGCCAGAUAUUUGGAAACAUCCCGUAUUAAUAUGACUGUGAGACAGGUGCUAGCUGAAGGUCAGAGCUUCUUGACUGAAAUUAGGACAGAGAGUGAACAAAAUGCAUUCUCCACAGACCAUUGUGAAAAGUUUAGAGAAACCAAAACACACAAGCCUAUUAGCAACAGAUGAGCCCCUCUUUUCACCAUAACCUCAGAUGCAUGAAAAGCCAACACCUCACAGAAGAGAUGGGAUAUGCCAUUGAAAGAAAAUUGAUUAACUGUGAAAAUAAGUAUGUACAGCCAAAGUAUAUGGCUCAGAUGCUUCCUUUCUGGAUCAACACUCCCCUGCAUUCUCUGAUUGCUUUUCCCUGUGUUUUCCUGUGUCAUCUAGAGCCUGCAUACAGCGUCUUACAUCUGGCCCCUGAACAGGGACAGCCCCCAUGGAGCAACUGGAACAGCCCCCCCUUCCGAGGGAGCAACAGCCAACAUACUUACCAGCAUCUGGAAUAGACCUCUAAGUGCACUUUCGUCCUGUGGGAUCCAUCAGUGGUAAGUAAGGGUUGCAAUCUAUCUCAGCACUAGCGGAAACAUGUACAGGAACUCAGAUUCCUGUUACACAAAUCAGGCAUGAAAGCGUCUGAGGCAGACAUAAGGAAGCUGGUGGGUGAGGUAGGAAAACAUUCCCCUUGAUAUCCUAAGCGCUGGACGCUUGGGUUACGAGAUUGGGAAAAGAUAGGGCAUACUUUACAUCUUGAAUCUCGGGCUCCAGUACAGGUAUUACAUCAAUGGCAUUAGUGCCAUCAAGCAGUGGAAAAAUUUGGCUCAGAUGCUUCAGCAGGGCAACAAUUAACUACAAGCCCCGCACCUGAUUAGGAUCAAGUAAAAACUGCCUCCGAAAGCAUCUUUAAUUGGAUUUAUAGCUCCUUCUGAAGAGGCUAAUUCUUUUGCCUCCUUAUGGCCAUCAUACAUCCCCGUAAGGAAAAUAUUAGAGGAACAAUCUUGAAGUAGAAAAAAUAUAUAUGGGGAAUUGUCAAGAGGAAUUUAAAGAAACAAAUUAAAUCAAAAUGUACUCCUCUGCA